ACCAAAGCUCCGAGUGUUACAAUUGCAGGGCAAUCCUUGCGUCGCCAGCAUCAGGCAAUACCGCAGCUCUGUGACAGUAAAAUGCUGCAAUCUCACGUACCUGGACGACAGUCCUGUCUUUCCUGUGGACAGAGCGGCUGCUGAGGCUUGGGCAACAAAAGGAGAGGAGGCCGCACAAGCAGUCCGUCUGAAAUGGAAGCAGGAUGAAAUGGACAAGGUGGCUAACUGCGUAAAUGACGUCUUGAAGCUCCGAGAUCGUGUCAAGAGGCAAAAACAAGAUAAACAAGCUGGCCUGGAACUAACAAUGAAGGAAAUCUCAAAAACUUCAACUGAUGGGCGAAAUUUACCUGAAGACAUACCAAACGCAGAAAAUAAUUCUAUUUUCAACAUGAAAAGUACAGAAACUGAGAAUGAAGAAAACGCCCAAUGCAAGCGUGAGCACUGCAGUCCAAUGACAGAAAUAUCGACCACUGAAAAAGUGAUAAGUUACUCUGAUA